rnacentral:rRNA from 1 species
UACGGAGGAUGCGAGCGUUAUCCGGAUUUAUUGGGUUUAAAGGGUGCGUAGGCGGGCUUUUAAGUCAGCGGUAAAAAUUCGGGGCUCAACCCCGUCCGGCCGUUGAAACUGGGGGUCUUGAGUGGGCGAGAAGAAGGCGGAAUGCGUGGUGUAGCGGUGAAAUGCAUAGAUAUCACGCAGAACCCCGAUUGCGAAGGCAGCCUUCCGGCGCCCUACUGACGCUCAGGCACGAAAGCGUGGGUAUCGAACAGG